UCCCUACGGGGGGCAGCAGUGGGGAAUAUUGCACAAUGGGGGAAACCCUGAUGCAGCGACGCCGCGUGGGCGAGGAAGUACCUCGGUAUGUAAAGCCCUAUCAGCAGGGAAGAAACAGGACAGUACCUGACUAAGAAGCCCCGGCUAACUACGUGCCAGCAGCCGCGGUAAUACGUAGGGGGCAAGCGUUAUCCGGAAUUACUGGGUGUAAAGGGAGCGUAGACGGCUGUGCAAGUCUGGAGUGAAAGGCGAGGGCCCAACCCCCGGACUGCUCUGGAAACUGUAUGGCUGGAGUGCUGGCGAGG
rnacentral:rRNA from 1 species